rnacentral:rRNA from 1 species
GAUGAACGCUAGCGGCAGGCCUAACACAUGCAAGUCGAGGGAGAGGUUACCUUCGGGUCACCAAAACCGGCGCACGGGUGAGUAACGCGUAUACAAUCUGCCUUUCACAUAGGGAUAGCCCGAAGAAAUUUGGAUUAAUACCUAAUGGUAUAUAAGAGCGGCAUCGUUUUUAUAUUAAAGCUACGGUGGUGAAAGAUGAGUAUGCGUUCUAUUAGCUAGUUGGAGAGGUAACGGCUCCCCAAGGCGACGAUAGAUAGGGGUUCUGAGAGGGAUGUCCCCCACACUGGUACUGAGAUACGGACCAGACUCCUACGGCAGGCAGCAGUGAGUAGUAUUGGACAAUGGUCGGGAGACUGAUCCAGCCAUGCCGCGUGCAGGAUGAAGGUUAUAUGGAUUAUAAACUGCUUUUGUAAGCGAAGAAUAAGGAGUACGUGUACUUUGAGGUCGGUACCUUACGAAUAAGCACCGGCUAACGCCGUG